rnacentral:rRNA from 1 species
UUGAACGCUGGCGGCAGGCCUAACACAUGCAAGUCGAGCGGAUGAAGGGAGCUUGCUCCUGGAUUCAGCGGCGGACGGGUGAGUAAUGCCUAGGAAUCUGCCUGGUAGUGGGGGAUAACGUCCGGAAACGGGCGCUAAUACCGCAUACGUCCUGAGGGAGAAAGGGGGGGGUCUUCGGACCUCACGCUAUCAGAUGAGCCUAGGUCGGAUUAGCUAGUUGGUGGGGUAAAGGCCUACCAAGGCGACGAUCCGUAACUGGUCUGAGAGGAUGAUCAGUCACACUGGAACUGAGACACGGUCCAGACUCCUACGGGAGGCAGCAGUGGGGAAUAUUGGACAAUGGGCGAAAGCCUGAUCCAGCCAUGCCGCGUGUGUGAAGAAGGUCUUCGGAUUGUAAAGCACUUUAAGUUGGGAGGAAGGGCAGUAAGUUAAUACCUUGCUGUUUUGACGUUACCAACAGAAUAAGCACCGGCUAACUUCGUG